rnacentral:tRNA from 1 species
UUAAUCAUAGUAAAACUAUUACAUAGCCUUUUCACGGCUAAAUUCCUUCACUGUAAGGUGAUUAAU